rnacentral:rRNA from 1 species
UACGUAGGGUGCAAGCGUUGUCCGGAAUUAUUGGGCGUAAAGAGCUCGUAGGCGGUUUGUCGCGUCUGCUGUGAAAACUGGAGGCUCAACCUCCAGCCUGCAGUGGGUACGGGCAGACUAGAGUGCGGUAGGGGGAGAUUGGAAUUCCUGGUGUAGCGGUGGAAUGCGCAGAUAUCAGGAGGAACACCGAUGGCGAAGGCAGAUCUCUGGGCCGUAACUGACGCUGAGGAGCGAAAGCAUGGGGAGCGAACAGG